UACGGGGGGGGCAAGCGUUGUUCGGAAUUACUGGGCGUAAAGGGCUCGUAGGUGGCCAACUAAGUCAGACGUGAAAUCCCUCGGCUUAACCGGGGACCUGCGUCUGAUACUGGAUGGCUUGAGUUUGGGAGAGGGACGCGGAAUUCCAGGUGUAGCGGUGAAAUGCGUAGAUAUCUGGAGGAACACCGGUGGCGAAGGCGACUACCUGGCCUGUUCUUGACGCUGAGGCGCGAAAGCUAGGGGAGCAAACGGG
rnacentral:rRNA from 1 species